UACGGGGGGGGCAAGCGUUGUUCGGAAUUACUGGGCGUAAAGGGCUCGUAGGCGGCCAACUAAGUCAGACGUGAAAUCCCUCGGCUUAACCGGGGAACUGCGUCUGAUACUGGAUGGCUUGAGGUCGGGAGAGGGAUGCGGAAUUCCAGGUGUAGCGGUGAAAUGCGUAGAUAUCUGGAGGAACACCGGUGGCGAAGGCGGCAUCCUGGACCAAUUCUGACGCUGAGUGAGCGAAAGCCAGGGGAGCAAACGGG
rnacentral:rRNA from 1 species